CCUACGGGAGGCAGCAGUGAGGAAUAUUGGUCAAUGGACGAGAGUCUGAACCAGCCACGUCGCGUGAAGGAUGACUGCCCUCUGGUUUGUAAACUUCUUUUAUAUGGGAAUAAAUUGUUCCACGUGUGGGAUUUUGUAUGUACCAUAUGAAUAAGGCUCGGCUAACUCCGUGACAGCAGCAGCGGUAAUACGGAGGAUCCGAGCGUUAUUCGGAUUUAUUGGGGUUAAAGGGAGCGUAGGUGGAUUGUUAAGUCAGAUGAGAAAGUUUGCGGCUCAACCGUAAAAUUGCAGUUGAAACUGGCAGUCUUGAGUACAGGAGAGGUGGGUGGAAUUCUUGGUGUAGGGGUGAAAUGCGUAGAGAUCAAGAAGAACUCCGAUUGCGAAGGCAGCUUGCUGGACUGCAACUGACACUGAGGCGCGAAAGUGUGGGUAUCAAACAGGAUUAGAUACCCUGGUAGUC
rnacentral:rRNA from 1 species